rnacentral:misc_RNA from 1 species
UUGGCGUCAUCGUCUUGGAUUAUAGCGCAAGAAUAUAAUAACCAAUCCAUGUAGAAAAUGUAACAAAAUUAAGCAUACAUUUUUUAGGUCAAUGCAUUGACACAAGGAUGGCAGAAGACUAUAUAUGUAAAUAUCUUAUACAAGACGAUUAGAGCGCACAAUCACACUUUUUCUAUGUGCUUGAAAUCACCGCCUCAAGCUCUCCA